rnacentral:rRNA from 1 species
GGAUAAUCUGCCCUCAGGUGAGGAAUAAUCCCGGGAAACUGGGGCUAAUGCCUCAUAGGAGACGGGUGCUGGAAUGCUCUGUCUCCCAAAGGUCCGCCGCCUGAGGAUGAGUCUGCGUCCGAUUAGGUAGUUGUUGGGGUAACGGCCCAACAAGCCUUUGAUCGGUACGGGUUGUGGGAGCAAGAGCCCGGAGAUGGAUUCUGAGACAUGAAUCCAGGCCCUACGGGGCGCAGCAGGCGCGAAAACUUUACAAUGCGAGCAAUCGUGAUAAGGAAACCCUGAGUGCCUGUCAAUGCAGGCUGUUCUGGUGUCUAACACACACCAGGAGAAAGGGCGGGGCAAGACCGGUGCCAGCCGCCGCGGUAAUACCGGCUGCUCGAGUGAUAGCCACUUUUACUGGGCUUAAAGCGUUCGUAGCUUGGUCGUUAAGUCUCUGGGGAAAUCUUUUGGCUCAACCAAAAGACGUCUCAGGGAAACUGGCGAUCUUGGAACCGGGAGAGGUAAGACGUACUUCGGGGUUAGGAGUGAAAUCUUGUAAUCCCCGAGGGACGACCGAUGGCGAAGGCAUCUUACCAGAACGGCUUCGACAGUGAGGGACGAAAGCUGGGGGAGCAAACCGGAUUAGAUACCCGGGUAGUCCCAGCCGUAAACGAUGUGCGUUAGGUGUGUCAGUGACCACGAGUCGCUGAGGUGCCGAAGGGAAACCGUGAAACGCACCGCCUGGGAAGUACGGUCGCAAGGCUGAAACU